GAACGAACGCUGGCGGCAGGCCUAACACAUGCAAGUCGAGCGCUACCUUCGGGUGGAGCGGCGGACGGGUUAGUAACGCGUGGGAACAUACCCCUUUCUAUGGAAUAGCCUCGGGAAACUGAGAGUAAUACCAUAUACGCCCUUCGGGGGAAAGAUUUAUCGGUGAGGGAUUGGCCCGCGUAAGAUUAGAUAGUUGGUGGGGUAAUGGCCUACCAAGUCUACGAUCUUUAGCUGGUUUUAGAGGAUGAUCAGCCACAUUGGGACUGAGACACGGCCCAAACUCCUACGGGAGGCAGCAGUGGGGAAUCUUGCACAAUGGAGGAAACUCUGAUGCAGCGAUGCCGCGUGAGUGAAGAAGGCCUUUGGGUUGUAAAGCUCUUUCGUCGGGGAAGAAAAUGACUGUACCCGAAUAAGAAGGUCCGGCUAACUUCGUGCCAGCAGCCGCGGUAAUACGAAGGGACCUAGCGUAGUUCGGAAUUACUGGGCUUAAAGAGUUCGUAGGUGGUUGAAAAAGUUGGUGGUGAAAUCCCAGAGCUUAACUCUGGAACUGCCAUCAAAACUUUUCAGCUAGAGUAUGAUAGAGGAAAGCAGAAUUUCUAGUGUAGAGGUGAAAUUCGUAGAUUAUUAGAAAGAAUACCAAUUUGCGAAAGGCAGCUUUCUGGAUCAUUACUGACACUGAGGAACGAAAGCAUGGGUAGCGAAGAGGAUUAGAUACCCUCGUAGUCCAUGCCGUAAACGAUGUGUGUUAGACGUUGGAAAUUUAUUUUCAGUGUCGCAGGGAAACCGAUAAACACACCGCCUGGGGAGUACGACCGCAAGGUUAAAACUCAAAUGAAUUGACGGGGACCCGCACAAGUAGUGGAGCAUGUGGUUUAAUUCGAAGAUACGCGCAGAACCUUACCAACACUUGACAUGUUCGUCGCGACUCUAAGAGAUUAGAGUUUUCGGUUCGGCCGGACGAAACACAGGUGCUGCAUGGCUGUCGUCAGCUCGUGUCGUGAGAUGUUGGGUUAAGUCCCGCAACGAGCGCAACCCUCACUUUUAGUUGCCAUCAUUAAGUUGGGCACUCUGAAAGAACUGCCAGUGAUAAGCUGGAGGAAGGUGGGGAUGACGUCAAGUCCUCAUGGCCCUUACGUGUUGGGCUACACACGUGCUACAAUGGCAUCUACAACAGGAAGCAAAACGGCAACGUUAAGCAAAUCCCGAAAAGAUGCCUCAGUUCGGAUUGCACUCUGCAACUCGAGUGCAUGAAGCUGGAAUUACUAGUAAUCGUGGAUCAGCGUGCCACGGUGAAUGCGUUCCCGGGUCUUGUACUCACCG
rnacentral:rRNA from 1 species